rnacentral:rRNA from 1 species
AUCAGGUAGGGAUACCCGCUGAAC